UACGGAGGAGCCAAGCGUUGUCCGGAUUGACUGGGCGUAAAGCGCACGCAGGCGGCCGCGCGCGUGGGGUGUGAAAUCUGGCCGCUUAACGGCCAGGCGCCAUCCCAUACGGCGCGGCUGGAGCCAUGCAGAGGGCGGUGGAAUUGCCGGUGUAGUGGUGAAAUGCGUAGAGAUCGGCAGGAACACCCAGGGGGAAACCAGCCGCCUGGGCAUGCGCUGACGCUGAGGUGCGAGAGCGUGGGGAGCGAACCGG
rnacentral:rRNA from 1 species